rnacentral:rRNA from 1 species
AACGAACGCUGGCGGCAUGCCCAACACAUGCAAGUCGAACGAAGCCUUCGGGCUUAGUGGCGCACGGGUGCGUAACGCGUGGGAAUCUGCCCUUUGGUUCGGAAUAACAGUUGGAAACGACUGCUAAUACCGGAUGAUGACGAAAGUCCAAAGAUUUAUCGCCAGAGGAUGAGCCCGCGUAGGAUUAGCUAGUUGGUGUGGUAAAGGCGCACCAAGGCGACGAUCCUUAGCUGGUCUGAGAGGAUGAUCAGCCACACUGGGACUGAGACACGGCCCAGACUCCUACGGGAGGCAGCAGUGGGGAAUAUUGGAUAAUGGGCGAAAGCCUGAUCCAGCAAUGCCGCGUGAGUGAUGAAGGCCCUAGGGUUGUAAAGCUCUUUUACCCGGGAUGAUAAUGACAGUACCGGGAGAAUAAGCCCCGGCUAACUCCGUGCCAGCCGCCGCGGUAA